rnacentral:lncRNA from 1 species
GCUCACUAGGUUUUGAGCGCAGCCACUGUCCGACUCGCUACGGCACAAACGGUGGCAACAUGCAUCUGUGGUUUCGUUCUUCACGAGAAGCCAGCCUAUAUUCAGUAUCAUGUUUACAAUCCAGGUUAUGAAGAAUCCAUACGGCAACACAGCGGGACAGUACAUUGGACCAUAAACAGUCCUGUAGUGGAAAGGAUGUAAAUGUGCA